GUUCUAGACGGGGAGGAAUAGGGCGAGUAACGCGGGCGAAGCAAAACUCCGAUGAGAACAGAUAAUAAAGAUGAAGGGAAAAGAAUGUCUGGAGCGAGCAGAGAGGGGCGCUGAAUGAAGGGAGGGAGGGAAAGCUGUGGAAAAAGGUGUGGAGCGGCGGAAUGCUUGGAGAGCGCUCAAGAGAAAAGGGAGUGUUGCUGGAAAGAGAAGGAAUCGCUAAAGAAGGCAGCAAGGGGAAGGUGGGGGGGGGGGUUUCCAACUAAUGGGUCGCCUCUGGGAAGCAGAGCGACUGCUUCGGGGUAUUCUUUGUCCGGUUCUUUUUUUGCACCCCAGUUGAGACUCGAGCAACGGCUCGGAGCUGGGAGCAGAACAGAGAAACCGCGUUGCAGGAAGGCAUGAAGAUCGCUGGAGCUCUUGUUUCUUGGGUCAUUGAUGGACAUUCCAUAGAGGAAAAACAAUAGAGGAUAAUAAAGAAAUGGCCAUGGAAUGCAAGGAGAAGAAAGAAAAUCCAACCUUCUGCCCCCAACCACCCAGAUCUCAAUAAGGCUCUGCAUUUACUACCCAAUGGAUGGAAUUUCCACUCAGGAAAUCAAGGAUCAAGCAAUGGACUGCAACAGAAAUGAGAAAAUAUUGGUAGAUUGCAAAAAAGCUCAAGCAGGGAAGAAAGGGUGUCUCAACCAGGUCAAGACAAGCAUAUUCAUGAUUAUAGCAAAAUCAACUGAUUUGGGAAUAUGCCAGUUGACGCUUUUCCCUCAAGCUCUUCUGCUGCUUAGGAGAGGUGAGGGCUGGAAAAGACUCCGCAAACAAGCAUAAAAACAGUGGACCGAGGGCACCCAUGAAGUGUACUGAAGUUGUACUGCUGUCAAGAGCAUUUCGGUGCAUAGUUGGAAAAUAAGCACGGUGGGCACCAGGGGUUACCACAGUACUCCGGAGGGACCUGUAACUUGCAGCUACUCCUUCAGUCAUGGUUCCUGCAGGGGGAAGCCAUGGCCAAGAAUCCCUUGACCCAGCUAUGGUGGUAUACCAGGUGCAACCCUUUCUGGAGAAAAAAUGGCUCUGGCAACAGUAACUCAUAACUUUAUCAUCUCUAGACUGGAUGUGUUUUAUCUGCAACUGUCCUUGAAGACUACCUAGCAAUUACAACUGGUGUAGGAUGCCUCCUGCACAAGCAAGAAUAACUCAGCAAUAUAUCAUCGGUACUCAGUGGCACCUCAAGGGUGUAUAUGGCACCCCAGGCCACAUUAGUUGAUGGUGCCACCUCCCACUCAUGGGGUAUUUGCAUUUUUAGAAUGAUUUGGAAGGAAGGGUUGCAACCCUAUGCUUUGGUGCCUAACAGCUUGGUUGUUAAAUAAAGCAGUCACUAAUGAAA